GAACAAUGCUGCACAUCAUUUGUGGAAACGGAAGAGUUAGAGGCAGAACAGGAGGAACAAUCAUGAACAUCAUUACUUGAAAUGGAAGAGUUAGAGGCAGAACAGUCAUUUCACCCAAGGAGGCAUGCAUAUGGAUUUAGGCUGUGAAAAAGAACCCCAAACAAAAUGGCGGCUGGUGAAUUAGAUAAAGUUUCUGAGUGUAGGAUCUGAACGGAGAAUAGGAAUACUGCAUCCCAUCUGACCCUGCAGGAAGAAAGACCUCUGGCAAAGACAAGAACAAAGGAAGGAGAACAUUUCUGGAAAUUUAUGAAAUCUUCAGUGUGUUUGGACACAGGAGCUAUGAUAUCCAUCCAUUCUGGUUGCCUCGGGAUCGAUUCUUGUGAAUAUAGAAAAUUGGAAAUUCAAAUGUUGGUUAUUUUACACUUUAAAAGUGCUUACUGCUUAGUCCAAUAUCUUGAUAAAUCUAGUCUUUUGUGAUUUUUCAGGCAAAUUAAAUCUCCAACACAUGUAUACAUUUUUGAUAAAUUACCUCAAGGACCCUAUAUUUUUUCAAAAGCAAUAUAUAUCUGAAGAAAAUAAAACCAUUUUUGU